UUUAAUGGCCGCAGUAAUUUAACUGUGCGAAGGUAGCAUAAUCAAUAGUUUUUUAAUUGAAAGCUUGUAUGAAAGGUUGGACGAGAUAAUAUCUGUCUUUAUUGUAAUUAUAUUAGAAUUUAAUUUUUAAGUUAAAAAGCUUAAAUUUUUUUAAAAGACGAGAAGACCCUAUAGAGUUUUAUAAUUUAGAAUUUAUAAUUAUUUUAGAUUAAUUAAUUUUAUAGAUUUAUAUUUAUUUUAUUGGGGUAAUAGAAAGAUUAUUAUAAUUCUUUUUUUUUUUAUUAUUUAUUUAUAUUUGUAUGAUCCUUUAUUAAAGAUUAUAAGAUUAAAUUACCUUAGGGAUAACAGCGUAAUUUUUUUUGAAAGUUCUUAUUGAUAAAAAAGAUUGCGACCUCGAUGUUGGAUUAAAGAUUAAUUUAGGUGCAAAAGUUUAAAUUUUUGGUCUGUUCGACCAUUAAAUCUUUACAUGAUCUGAGUUCAGACCGGUGUGAGCCAGGUCGGUUUCUAUCUUUAUUUAUUUAAAAUAUUUUAGUACGAAAGGACCAAAUAUUUAUUAUAUUAAUUUAUAUUUUGAAUAUUAUUAAUUAUUUUGGCAGAUUAGUGCAAUGAAUUUAGAAUUCUUUUAUGUAAAUUUUAUUUAUAAAUAAUACUUGUAUAUAUUAGAUAAAAGAUUUAUAUUUAUUAGAUUUUUAUUAUUAAUUAUUUGUGUUUUAAUUAGAGUUGCUUUUUUGACUUUAUUAGAACGGAA
rnacentral:rRNA from 1 species